AAUUAAACCAGCGAAAAAAGAUCGUGGCCUCCAUACUACCCCGAGUCGAUACGCCCUAUCCUCCCUAACCGGCUCUCGUCUCCCUCAGAUGCAGCCACCCGCUGAAUCGAAUCGCGCUGCCAGGCUCGUCCGCCUCGCCGUGGCUGCGUCCCUCCCCGGAUGGCGGCGACGAUGGAGGGAGCCACUGGCGCUGGCCAGGCUCCCGGCCGAUGGACGCGCCGGGUUGUCGCUCCUCCGGGCCAGCCCCUCCCGCCGUGCUGCAUCACGUGGCGGCGUAGGGAACCCUAACCAGCCCCCGAUCUUCGCAUCUCUCCCUGAAUCCCUCCUCCUCCACGAGCCGCGCGUGUGCUUCUCUUCUCCCACAUGCUGCUCCUCUCCCUCCCCAAAUCGGCAUGGAUCUCGCACUGCUGGAUCCCCUCCUCUCCCUCCCUGACUUGUCGUGAAUCUUGUGCUGCGAGAGCUGCUCCUAUCCCUUCCCUGGCCGCCAUGGAUCUGGCCAGGCACCAUUGGAGGAAGCCCAACAUUUAUGCUAGGCGGUGUAUACAGGCUGGUACAUUGCACCGGGUGAAGGGUGCAGAUCAUGUUCCUGAGAGCAUCCAAAACAUAUGGGAGGUGCUGCCCGGAGCUGUGGGAGGACCGCGUCGUGAGACCUCGGUGACUGCGGACAUGGUAACCAACUAGACUCACACCUAACUUGAAUUUUCCUUCUGCUGAUUUGGUGUUAGUUCAGGUCCAGGGUAGGUGCUAAUGGAGAGUUGGAGGGUGAAUGGGAGAGGUGAUAGCUAAUUAUGGUUUGACUUUAGUAAUUAUAUUUGUUCCUUGUUCGUUGCCAUUUUGUUGUGCUAAAUGUAGUAUGUGAUCUAGAGGAUAUUUAGGUAUCAGAUUAGUAACAGUGCAGUAGCAUCAGACACUUGGUGUUUUCUCAUGUGAUAUAUCUAAGUGGUAAUCAGUUGUACAACUAGACAAAUGCAAAUGUCCAUAGUAAUAAACUUGUGGUCACAAAACUGCUGCUUAAAGUUUGUUCAAUUAUGGAAAUGGGCAUUUUAGUUCUGCUCCUUAAUUUUGUUCAAUUAUGUAAACGCAUGGGCACGCGAUGCCGUUUCCUUACCUCACAAAAUCAAACUGAAGGCAUCCAAUUCUGGUGGUAAUAACUGAUCACGUGUAUUGCCAUUUUUACAGAACAAUUUAUUCUCCUACUCUCCAGAGAUCUGAUCAUAACUAUCUUGCUCAUUUGAUGUUGUUAUGUUUGUUACUCUGUCUUGGUAGAAACAGAUAUUAAGGAGAGGCACUCCAAGAGAUCAUGUGUAAGUACAAUUGAGUUGUGAGUUUUCUUUUUUACACCAUUGAUAUAAUUUUAAUAUUUAUGAUGAUUGCAUAUGGAUAUAUAGCUAUUUUGUUUACCUUGUGAAAUAGUACCAAUCUUAGAACAUGCUCCUAAUUCAGGUAAAACUAUGGAAAAUGAAUGGGUAGAUAGAUUUUGAGAUUUGGUCCUUCUAUUGACCAAUCGUAUAGAUUAUGAUCCUAUAGAGUUAGAGUUGUUAAUUAUGUUAUUAUUGGUGUAGUUAAAACCUUCAGACAGCUAAUGGUCUUGUCAUCAUGUUUUAGUAUUGAACUGCAGAAUACUGGAGCCGUAGUUUCCGCCUCAUGCUUUCUCCCUUGUAAGGAGGAUAGCCGGGGCGCGGUGCGAGGAUAGCUGCCGCUUCAUCCGAGGAUGCGCCUGCUGACGGAUGUCGCGUCGAGUCCAUGACGGACCUCUUUGUGCAAGGCAUCACCUCCUCCCUUCAUCUCUUCUCUAUUCAGCCCGGUCGGAGUGAGCAUGCACGUGCAUUCCUACGUACUGAAAUGGUCGUUCCCGUGCGUCUCCAAGGUUGAACAAAUAUGGUUUUGUUUAACUGGUGGCUAGCUUUUUCUUACUAAUGGAACCUGCAGCUCGGAACACACUGCACCCCGGUGAUGGGAAGUCCGGAACAACUAUCAAUGCAGGAGACGAUCAGCUGUUCUGCACUGGAUCGGGAAGAUCAGUGUUUGCCAGCGAGAGGGCUAUAAGGAGGGCCAGGGUGUUGGUCAGGGAGGAGCUGUAGAAGACUGGUAUCAAGUGAAGUGGGAGCUUAUGUGACCAAUUUUUGGUUUGCAGUAGUCAAACUAUUCCAUUGUUCGUUUCUGUAUGUACUGUAAUGGGAUAGUGGGAUGACCAGUGACGACGUGCCUGAUGCAAAGGGAUAAUGAGAGAAAUGGACCCUCCAUUUAGACGUAAGACUUGCUUUCUCCCUUUUUCUCUACAGAGUCAAGAUUGAAUGUUGCUCAAUAUCCAGAAACUAUCCAGGUUUGAUAAUUGUACCAACUGUAUUUUCUUGAGGUUGUGUGUUACUGAUUCAGUUUUCCUCUUAUGAAAUUUAGGCAGAGUGUGUACAGUACCAUGGCCCAGUGUUCCAAACUGGAUCAGGAAAAGCGGUCUUGUUGGGCAAUGCUUCAAUGCACAAGGCAUGAGCUAUUUUAGGAGAAACUAGAUGAUACUUGUAAUUAUUGUACCAGAAAAUAGAUGAUCAUUGUAUUUCUGCAACAGAAAACUUAUUGUUGUGAUUGUUUGAUACCUUACUUGAGGCGUUGAUCAGUUCGUGGAGCAAAGCUGGAGGGAGAUGGGAUACUGACGAUUAUUGAGAGCUAUUGGAUUAUUGAGAGUUGCCAUUUGUGAAAAAAUACAAUAUUUUGGAGGGCAUCUCUGACAGGAUACACAUACUUCCGGAUGCAAUAGUUUCUGAAGCAGCACCCCUGAAGAAAGAUGAUAUGGAAUACGCCUUGGAUAUCUACCAUCCCAACCGUAUAAUCAGAAGAAUAAUACUUAACUGUCCUACAUUUGCUACAACCCUCUGGAAAAAAUUCUCUUGAAGGGAAGUGCAAGUUAUAUGUUGAUGGUGGAGGUGUGAAUCUUACCAGCGAUGUGUAUUCUUCCUUUACUAUCCAUAUGAAAGUGAGGUGCUUAAUGCGCAAGCCUCUAUCAACAGAGAUUCUAUAUUGUUGGGUACAACUAUGGGUACGCCUUGGAGAGAUAAAAUCCCUAGCACCCCUCAUGCAAAGAGAAGCGGAAUCUCCUUUUUUGUUGUAGUGUAUGCCUUCUAAUUAUAUUGCAAUAGUAAUAUGCCAAUAAGUAUUUGGAAUAAGAGCAAAUAGUUUAUGGUUAUCUAGAAUUUUCAUUACUUAUAUUGUUUAUUGGACCAUGUGUAUGUAUUAAGUCAUUCGCAAAUACACAUGUGGUGUCAACUCACUCACAGCUAUUAUUCACGUUAGCUUUGGAACUUUAGGUUUUGCACUCAGUUCGGCUCUUUGUGACUAUUCAAGUAUUCAAUUCAUCAGGAACCUCAUGUCAUAAUUUAAUGUUCUUCACAGUAGUUCUUGGGCAUCAUUAUGUUUUGUUGAUCCAAAUUUUACUAUUCUCAAAUAUUUCUUGUUUCAUGUUGUUUCCAAUAUAGAAUUCUAGAAAUUUUACAUCUAACAUUGUCUAAAAUGAUCCACUUGCAUGAAAAAUCACCUUUCAUAUUUGGUGAGUUGUUUCUGAAAUCUGUAAUCUUUAAUCGUCCUUUUUGUCUUGGCCACCCAAAUUACCAAAUGAUGCCAGCUCUGUUUGCACGAUGUGUACAAUUCUCGAUUUCACUAAAAUGGGCUCCAUGUGAAUCUAAAUAAAACACUAAAUUGCAACAAUAGCCUAAUUGAACUUGUGAUUUUGGAAAUGUUAUGGCCGAAGAAGCUCAUCAAACAGUGUACUGUAAACUGGUUGGUUAUUGAGAGGCCCUUUAUCUGUUUCUAUCCCAGUCGGUCCACAAGUGCAUGAUAGGUGAUCAUGUGGUAUUUGUGAUGUUCUUUACACUAACUGGAUGCAAGUGAUGUGUGUUAGUCUGCUUUCCAGUUUCUUCCCCACCUUUAUGUUGAAUGUACUAUGUGUUUUUGCCAUAUCUGGCUGUUGACAUUUCCUAAACUAGAUUUAAUUGUUGUUUAGAUGGCGAGGUUCAUGGAUAAGCAGUAUUUCUGUCAUAUUUGCGUUCUAUCAUUAUGUGCUUUCUCCACGUAGUUGUUGGCUGGACCGUAUAUUUAUUGCAUGAUGAAAACGAAUUUCUAUGAUUGUGAUUUUGACAAAAUAAACAACACACUAUAUGAUGGCACCUCAAAAGGGUGUGAUUCAUCUUUAACUUCUUUAUCCACUUGCGCUUUCAGCACCGCAGAGCUCAUGCAAAGACCAUGAGGAGCAGCACUGCUGGACGGAACAGAAACAACAAUGGUGAUGUAGCUUCUUAUUCCCCAUACUCGUAACACGGUGGAGGGCGACAAACAAUGUAACUGAUGGUGGCAGUGGUGGUGUAGGGGAGGAGCAUAUGGACCAUACAAUCUAGGAGUCCUGAUCGCAAGCUGUGAUUCUGCCAUGUUAUCGGUGCUUGAGCGCCGUAUGAGGGUGAAGAACAUUACCUUAUCAAUGUGUCUUGCAUGCCACCCGUUACCUUGAGUCCUCGGUAUAUUAGGGUUGUAAUGUUUUGUUUAUUCAAUGGAUUCUUGGCCGUCCUGUAGCUAAUUCCAUCCAGUAUUCGUUCUAGCAAGUGUUUUGGUCUGGUGUGUAAUUUUGGGCCUGCUGUGUUGCCAUAUCCCUUUUUUUAAACCGGAUCUGCCAGGCGAUGUGUCACUGGUUCCCUGGUCGAACCUCCGGUCGUGAUGGUUUGGUAGAGAUGCAAUUUGUAAAAUUACUUAACUAAGUUGGGUUUGAUAAAGCGAUCACAAAGAAGAUGCAGACAACACUGUACA